CACGUAGGGUGCGAGCGUUGUCCGGAAUUAUUGGCGUAAAGAGCUCGUAGGCGGUGUGUCGCGUCGGCCGUGAAAACCUGCAGCUUAACUGUGGGCUUGCGGUCGAUACGGGCAUCACUGGAGUUCGGCAGGGGAGACUGGAAUUCCUGUGUAGCGGUGAAUGCGCAGAUAUCAGGAGGAACACCGGGUGGCGAAGGCGGGUCUCUGGCCGAUACUGCGUGAGGAGCGAAAGCGUGGGAAGCGAACAGG
rnacentral:rRNA from 1 species